rnacentral:lncRNA from 10 species
CUUAUUUAUCACCUCCUAAGCCAUAACCUGAUUAUCAUAGCUCCAGUUUCCAGCCCCAUACCAGUCUCUUGUCAAUCAGUAUCAGAAGGCCUGCUCUAACUUCUCUUAUGGUUGCUUCAUAGCUGUCUCCAAUCGCUACUGGCUUCUCAGAAAUAUCCCUUUCCAGUUUAACCCAGGGACCGAGACCCAGAGUACUACGUGCCCUCAGAUGUCAUAACUCCUCACUGGGUUUGCAGCAGAUAGAUGAGAGCUGGUGUAAGACUACAAUGAUGAAGAAACUGAAGCAGAGAAAUAAGGAAUUUGUCCAAAUCUCACAGCAAUGUUAGCACAGUUCAGAGGACCAAG